GAUGAGCCCGCGGCCUAUCAGCUUGUUGGUGGGGUGACGGCCUACCAAGGCGACGACGGGUAGCCGGCCUGAGAGGGCGACCGGCCACACUGGGACUGAGACACGGCCCAGACUCCUACGGGAGGCAGCAGUGGGGAAUAUUGCACAAUGGGCGAAAGCCUGAUGCAGCGACGCCGCGUGAGGGAUGACGGCCUUCGGGUUGUAAACCUCUUUCAGCAGGGAAGACGCGAAAGUGACGGUACCUGCAGAAGAAGCACCGGCUAACUACGUGCCAGCAGCCGCGGUAAUACGUAGGGUGCGAGCGUUGUCCGGAAUUAUUGGGCGUAAAGAGCUCGUAGGCGGCUUGUCACGUCGGAUGUGAAAGCCCGGGGCUUAACCCCGGGUCUGCAUUCGAUACGGGCAGGCUAVAGUUCGGUAGGGGAGAUCGGAAUUCCUGGUGUAGCGGUGAAAUGCGCAG
rnacentral:rRNA from 1 species